UACGUAGGGUGCAAGCGUUGUCCGGAAUUAUUGGGCGUAAAGAGCUCGUAGGCGGUCUGUCGCGUCUGCCGUGAAAACCCGAGGCUUAACCUCGUGGCUUGCGGUGGAUACGGGCAGACUAGAGGUAGGUAGGGGAGAAUGGAAUUCCCGGUGUAGCGGUGAAAUGCGCAGAUAUCGGGAGGAACACCGGUGGCGAAGGCGGUUCUCUGGGCCUUACCUGACGCUGAGGAGCGAAAGCGUGGGGAGCGAACAGG
rnacentral:rRNA from 1 species